UCCUACGGGGGGCAGCAGUCGAGAAUCAUUCACAAUGGGGGAAACCCUGAUGGUGCGACGCCGCGUGGGGGAAUGAAGGUCUUCGGAUUGUAAACUGCUUUAGACAGGGAAGAAAAAAGACAGUACCUGUAGAAUAAGCUCCGGCUAACUACGUGCCAGCAGCCGCGGUAAUACGUAGGGAGCAAGCGUUAUCCGGAUUUAUUGGGUGUAAAGGGUGCGUAGACGGGAAUGCAAGUUGGUUGUGAAAUCCCUCGGCUUAACUGAGGAACUGCAACCAAAACUACAUUUCUUGAGUGCUGGAGAGG
rnacentral:rRNA from 1 species